GAUGAAGAACGCAGCGAAAUGCGAUACGUAAUGUGAAUUGCAGAUUUCAGUGAAUCAUCGAAUCUUUGAACGCACAUUGCGCCCGCUAGUAUUCUGGCGGACAUGCCUGUUCGAGCGUCAUUUCAACCAUCAAGCCCUAGGCUUGCGUUGGAGCCCUGCGGCUGCCGCAGGCUCCCAAAUCCAGUGGCGGGCUCGUCGUCGUACCGAGUGCAGUAAACAUCCUCGCUCAGGGAACGUGACGGGUUCUUGCCGUGAAACCCCCCACAUAUCAAGGUUGACCUCGGAUCAGGUAGGAAUACCCGCUGAACUUAAGCAUAUCAAUAAGCGGAGGA
rnacentral:misc_RNA from 1 species